rnacentral:rRNA from 1 species
AUGCUUGCCUUGGGCAUCAUCCAGAUCUCCACUUCGCCGUUUUCGGUGCCGUUCCUCCUCGUCCGCAAGUCGGACGGCACGUGGCGCUUCUGCAUCGACUACCGCGCCCUUAACGCCCAGACACUGAAGGAAAAGUUUUCUAUUCCGGUCGUCGACGAGCUCCUAGACGAGCUACAUGGGCCGUGCUUCUUCACCAAGCUCGACCUCCGUUCGGGCUACCACCAGGUGCGGAUGCACCCGGACGAUGUCGCCAAGACGGCAUUUCGGACUCAUCACGGCCACUUCGAGUUCUUGGUGAUGCCUUUUGGCCUCUCCAACGCCCCGGCGACCUUCCAGGCCUUGAUGAAUGAUGUCCUCCGCCCCUACUUGUGUCGGUUUGUGCUCGUUUUCUUUGAUGACAUUCUUAUCUACAACGCCUCGUGGGCGGAGCACCUUCAGCACGUCGCCAUCGUCUUCAACGAGCUUCGAGCGCACCAUCUUCAUCUUAAGCGCUCGAAGUGCUCGUUCGGCAUGCCUUCAGUCGCCUACCUCGGCCAUGGCAUCUCGGCCGAGGGUGUUGCUAUGGACGCCGACAAGGUGGCGGCGGUCGCGGCCUAG